rnacentral:rRNA from 1 species
UAGGGAAUCUUCCGCAAUGGGCGAAAGCCUGACGGAGCAACGCCGCGUGAGUGAUGAAGGUCUUCGGAUCGUAAAACUCUGUUAUUAGGGAAGAACAAAUGUGUAAGUAACUAUGCACGUCUUGACGGUACCUAAUCAGAAAGCCACGGCUAACUACGUGCCAGCAGCCGCGGUAAUACGUAGGUGGCAAGCGUUAUCCGGAAUUAUUGGGCGUAAAGCGCGCGUAGGCGGUUUUUUAAGUCUGAUGUGAAAGCCCACGGCUCAACCGUAGAGGGUCAUUGGAAACUGGAAAACUUGAGUGCAGAAGAGGAAAGUAGAAUUCCAUGUGUAGCGGUGAAAUGCGCAGAGAUAUGGGGGAACACCAGUGGCGAAGGCGACUUUCUGGUCUGUAGCUGACGCUGAUGUGCGAAAGCGUGGGGAUCAAACAGG